rnacentral:misc_RNA from 1 species
GAUGAAGAACGCAGCGAAAUGCGAUAAGUAAUGUGAAUUGCAGAAUUCAGUGAAUCAUCGAAUCUUUGAACGCACCUUGCGCUCCUUGGUAUUCCGAGGAGCAUGCCUGUUUGAGUGUCAUGAAAUUCUCAACCUUUUCAGCUUUCUUUGUUGAUCAGGCUUGGAUGUGGGAGUAUGCGGGCUUCUCAGAAGUCGGCUCUCCUGAAAUGCAUUAGCGGGACCUGUGUUGCCUGGCUUUGGUGUGAUAAUUAUCUACGCCAUUGUAGUCAAGCAGCUUAAAAUGAGGUUUCAGCUUCUAACCGUCUCCCCUGAGACAACUUUUUGACAAUUUGACCUCAAAUCAGGUAGGACUACCCGCUGAACUUAAGCAUAUCAAUAAGCGGAGGA